rnacentral:rRNA from 1 species
UACGGGGGGGGGCAAGCGUUGUUCGGAAUUACUGGGCGUAAAGGGCUCGUAGGUGGCCAACUAAGUCAGACGUGAAAUCCCUCGGCUUAACCGGGGAACUGCGUCUGAUACUGGAUGGCUUGAGUUUGGGAGAGGGACGCGGAAUUCCAGGUGUAGCGGUGAAAUGCGUAGAUAUCUGGAGGAACACCGGUGGCGAAGGCGGGUUGCUGGGCCCGGACACUGACGCUGAGGCGCGAAAGCCAGGGGGAGCGAACGGG